rnacentral:rRNA from 1 species
UACAGAGGUCCCAAGCGUUGUUUGGAUUCACUGGGCGUAAAGGGUGCGUAGGCGGUUUGAUAAGUCUGAUGUGAAAUCCCGCAGCUUAACUGCGGAACUGCAUUGGAAACUAUUUGACUAGAGGAAUGGAGGGGAGACUGGAAUACUUGGUGUAGCAGUGAAAUGCGUAGAUAUCAAGUGGAACACCAGUGGCGAAGGCGAGUCUCUGGACAUUUCCUGACGCUGAGGCACGAAAGCCAGGGGAGCAAACGGG